CCUACGGGAGGCAGCAGUGAGGAAUAUUGGUCAAUGGGCGCAAGCCUGAACCAGCCAAGUCGCGUGAGGGAUGACGGUCCUAUGGAUUGUAAACCUCUUUUGUCGGGGAGCAAGGCCCGCCACGUGUGGCGGGAAGGAGAGGACCCGAAGAAAAAGCAGCGGCGAACGCCGUGCCAGCAGCCGCGGUAAUACGGAGGAUGCGAGCGUUAGCCGGAUGUAGUGGGGUGAAAGGGUGCGUAGGCGGAAGGUUAAGUCAGCGGUCAAAUGUCGGGGCUCAACACCGGCCUGCCGUUGAAACUGGUCUUCUUGAGUGAGCGAGAAGUAUGCGGAAUGCGUGUUGUCGCGGUGAAAUGCAUAGCUAUCACGCAGAACUCCGAUUGCGAAGGCAGCAUACCGGCGCUCAACUGACGCUGCGGCACGAAAGCGUGGGGAUCGAACAGGAUUAGAUACCCUUGUAGUC
rnacentral:rRNA from 1 species